rnacentral:rRNA from 1 species
AGUGAACGCUGGCGGUAGGCCUAACACAUGCAAGUCGAACGGCAGCACAGUAAGAGCUUGCUCUUACGGGUGGCGAGUGGCGGACGGGUGAGGAAUACAUCGGAAUCUACUUUUUCGUGGGGGAUAACGUAGGGAAACUUACGCUAAUACCGCAUACGACCUACGGGUGAAAGCAGGGGAUCUUCGGACCUUGCGCGAUUGAAUGAGCCGAUGUCGGAUUAGCUAGUUGGCGGGGUAAAGGCCCACCAAGGCGACGAUCCGUAGCUGGUCUGAGAGGAUGAGCAGCCACACUGGAACUGAGACACGGUCCAGACUCAUACGGGAGGCAGCAGUGGGGAAUAUUGGACAAUGGGCGAAAGCCUGAACCAGCCAUACCGCGUGGGAGAAGAAGGCCUUGGGGUUGUAAAGCCCUUUUGUUGGGAAAGAAAAGCAGCAGGUUAAUACCCCGCUGUUCUGACGGUACCCAAAGAAUAAGCACCGGCUAACUUCGUG